rnacentral:rRNA from 1 species
CCUACGGGCGGCAGCAGUGGGGGAUAUUGCACAAUGGGGGAAACCCUGAUGCAGCGACGCCGCGUGUGGGAAGACGGUCCUCUGGAUUGUAAACCACUGUCCCCAGGGACGAAGAUGACGGUACCUGGGGAGGAAGCUCCGGCUAACUACGUGCCAGCAGCCGCGGUAAUAGGUAGGGAGCGAGCGUUGUCCGGAAUUACUGGGUGUAAAGGGAGCGUAGGCGGGACUGCAAGUUGGGUGUCAAAUCUACCGGCUCAACCGGUAGCCGCACUCAAAACUGCAGUUCUUGAGUGAAGUAGAGGCAGGCGGAAUUCCUAGUGUAGCGGUGAAAUGCGUAGAUAUUAGGAGGAACACCAGUGGCGAAGGCGGCCUGCUGGGCUUUUACUGACGCUGAGGCUCGAAAGUGUGGGGAGCAAACAGGAUUAGAUACCCUAGUAGUC